rnacentral:lncRNA from 1 species
GAACAGCGGAGCAAGGUGGCCAUUUUAUUUUUUCAAAGCCACACUACCUGCUGCUACACGGGACAUAAAAGUGCAAAAUUCCACCAGGAAGGGAAACAAAACAGCCUUGAGACACCCAUGUCUCAGAGGUGAAGACUGGAGGAGAUUUUAAUAUAGGGUGUGAAUUCCAAUUCACAUCUCUUCCAACGGGACCUCUUUCCGAAGUCCCGGGAACUAACAUUCAUCAACACCUCUGACAUCCCAGACUGGGGCCUUGGAGUCUGGGUAGCUGGAUGCUGCGAGAGGCUGCGGAGGUAAGGGCCCAGGGGCUGAGGUUGCAGCGGCUGCCCGGGAAUGCGGUCCUUGCACGCCCACUUUUUAACACAGUGCCAUCCCUGACAGACACCCUUGUCCUUUUCCUGUGCUGCCCUUCGUAACACCAUAAAUAAAGCCUUAGAGUAACGUGACCUGAGCCAGGCAGUAAAUGAUGGCACUGUCAGUUGUACACGACUGUUGAAACAAACACAGACUGUAAUCAUCGUGCUGUACGGGGAGAAAGACAUUUGGCAAAUGAGAUUCCAUUUUCACAUUGGUUUGUGCUGAGCAUAUAAAUUUCCUGCGGGCCGGCCAGCGUUGGGGAUGUGUAAUUGAUUGCCUGCAUUAUAAUAAACAAGCUGUGACAGGUGAUCAUUCAUCAUAUUCCGCUGAACGUUCCAGCACACCAGAAUCCGCUGAGCGGGCGGGGGAAAGUGAAAGCAAUUACUAUAAUUCUUUUGAUUAUCUAAUUUGUUCUUUCUGGCCUUCGUUAUAUGACCCUCCCUCCCUCACCCCACUCCAACAUAGAAGGUCCCCCACGGGGACUUGGGAAGGCACAGAGAACGCUCCCUCC